rfam:Schistosoma rodhaini strain Burundi genome assembly, scaffold: SROB_scaffold0000306
AUCCAGCUGACGAGUCCCAAAUGGGACGAAACGCGCGUCCUCGAU